GAUGAACGCUGGCGGCGUGCUUAACACAUGCAAGUCGAACGAAGCAUUUGCGACAGAUUUUUUCGGAAUGAAGUUGCUUAUGACUGAGUGGCGGACGGGUGAGUAACGCGUGGGUAACCUGCCUUGUACUGGGGGAUAGCAGCUGGAAACGGCUGGUAAUACCGCAUAAGCGCACAAUGUUGCAUGACAUGGUGUGAAAAACUCCGGUGGUAUAAGAUGGACCCGCGUCUGAUUAGCUAGUUGGUGAGAUAACAGCCCACCAAGGCGACGAUCAGUAGCCGACCUGAGAGGGUGACCGGCCACAUUGGGACUGAGACACGGCCCAGACUCCUACGGGAGGCAGCAGUGGGGAAUAUUGCACAAUGGAGGAAACCCUGAUGCAGCGACGCCGCGUGAGUGAAGAAGUAAUUCGUUAUGUAAAGCUCUAUCAGCAGGGAAGAUAGUGACGGUACCUGACGAAGAAGCUCCGGCUAAAUACGUG
rnacentral:rRNA from 1 species